CAAAGUCUUGCUUCGCAAAAUGUGGUCUGCGGGACUGGCAGCAUCUGCAUCACUGGGAGCUUGUUAGAUAGAAAUGCAGAAUCUCAAACUACUUAACCAGAAUCUGCAUUUAAAAAACACAGCCGGUUGAUUUGUGUGCGCAGAGAAGUUUUAGAAGCAUUACACUAAAUACCUCUUGGGAACAGAGACGAGUUGGUUCCUAAUCAAAGACAGGCAGAGACGCACUGUGUCUGCUGGGCAUCUCUGAGGACAAGGCAGAAUUGUUUCAAUCAAUCCCAAUGAGAGAUUGAUACAUUCCCAUCAUUGACAUUAACCCCCUAUGACAGUGAAUCUUGCUUGGAAGCCUCUUGUGUGCCUAGGCUAUACCUUUACCAAACUUGCUUUUUUUCUUCAACCCUUGGCAGCCACUGGCCUAGUGGAUACAGUCCAAAAUAGAUGUAGCAUAACAUAAUUGAAUAUUACAUUUCCAGUGCAUCACCUAUUACAUUUGAACUAACAUCUCUUCCUGCUAUCCUUGUACCCUCCAUUUUUACAAGAUUACUCAACACACCUUCCAUAUCUAAUCUAUGCUUGUUCACGUCUUUUUCUCAUCCUGGAUUCCUUUCUUUCUCUCUAUUUCUGUAGAAAUUCUUCACAUCUAUAAAGGCACACAUUAAAGUUUAUUGCGGCCAUGAAACCUUUCAUAAUCAGAAUUCGUCACAUUCUACCAGUUGGACAAAUCAGCUCUAGGCAACAAACACUGGCUGUAUAGAAAGUCAUAAUCAAAAUGAUCUAUAACAGUUCUGCCAAUGUGUAUGUCAACAUACUCUCUGCGUUCAUAAAAGUUUUCCACAAUUGAAUAAGAACUGAGGGAGAGACUGUUCAGGAACUCGGAGUCUCAUUUUACUACCAGGCACCUGGAGUCCAUCCUUGAAAAAUUCCACCCAUCAGACCAGAAGAAAUUUCACCUUUCACAUCACUUCAGAGUGACCCAGGAGGCAAUUUCAACCUGUCUGCUUCUUUUACUCCCUCCUGAAUUCUGUAAAAAAAACUUCCUAAUAGCUACGAUAUUGACGGAGUGGUUGGUGCUGCUCACAUGUGUGGGUAAACAAGAAUUGCUCGUGAGAACGUACCAUCCAGUGAGCCCAAGUGGUCCAACAAAGUGGCCACUACAACUUGACAAUCAAAGGAAAGAUAUUAUUAUAAAGAGUCAUAUGUCCUGGAAGUAUUUUCUUUUCUUUUUUUUUUUUUUUGAGACGGAGUCUCGCUCUGUCGCCCAGGCUGGAGUGCAGUGGCGCGAUCUCGGCUCACUGCAAGCUCCGCCUCCCGGGUUCCCGCCAUUCUCCUGCCUCAGCCUCCCGAGUAGCUGGGACUACAGGCCCCGCCACCACGCCCGGCUAGUUGUUGUUGUUGUUGUUGUUUUUUGUUUUGUUUUGUUUUUGUAUUUUUUAGUAGAGACGGGGUUUCACCGUGUUAGCCAGGAUGGUCUCGAUCUCCUGACCUUGUGAUCCGCCCGCCUCGGCCUCCCGAAGUGCUGGGAUUACAGGCGUGAGCCACUGCGCCCGGCCGGAAGUAUUUUCUUGAAUUGGUAUUUAAGGUGAUGGGUAAUUUAUAUUUCAAAUGACACAAACAUAUUGUACACUUAGAUUCAUGCUUUAAAUUUUAAAACCUAUGUGCCAGGCAAUGUGCUUGACAUUUUAAAAUAGAUUAUCUCUCAUCUUCCCCUAAGUCUGAAUAUGUAGCAUAUAUGCCCAGUGCUUAGGAAUACUUGAUAGGAAGCAGUAUGUAAUUGAAAACGUUUGGUAAAUCACAUAAAGAUUUAUUCAAACAUCUUUGUGAAGAACCAAACAAAGUAACUAUAGUAUGGUUCAUAAUAAAAUCACUAGUUUUUAGAUGUGAUGUUAGAAUUACAGAUCUAUUUUUAGAUGUCUAAAUUUAGUGCAAUGUGGUUGUACAGAAGUAGGUUGAAAUCAGUUUUCAAAAUGGAUCAUUUUUUUUUUCUAGUAAGCCCAUUAUUCAUGAUAAAGUCUUCAGAGAAUAUGAGUCGUUUCUCCAUUUUAUUUUAAUGGUGAAUUACGCUAUGCAAAUUACCAGUGCUUAUCUUAUUGUGCACAAAUAAGUGACCUAAGUAGCUCAUUUAGUGCUGCACAUUUGUUUAUGUUGGACCUCGUUCUGAAAUGUCACCACACUAACUUGCUAUUUACUUUAUACGGCAGUUACAAGAGAUGAUUCAUCUCUUGUGUAUGAGCAUGAUUUUUAUUUUAGCCAUCAAUAACCGUGACAAUGAUAAUACACUGUAAGACUGAUAAUGAUGAGGUUUUUCCCUACCAGCUUAGUGUAAUUGAUAGUAAAAAUAAAAAGAUCAAUAAAACCGUGAACUCUUGCCUUGACUAAGCAACUGGUAAUAUAGAGACGUUUAGAGUAAUUUGAUUAAAAUAUGAACAACUAAAUUAAUCAUGAAUGAUAAUUUAUAGAACAGACUUACCAAAAUGAUUAUGUGGUGUGUGUGGGUGUGUGUGUGUGUGUGUGUGUGUGUGUGUGUGGUGGGGGAGAUAAUGGAAGAAAAAAAAUCAAAGAAAGUAUAAUAAUCUUCAUGGUUUAAAACCCAGUGUAAGGAAGGUAGUAAGAUGUCAGAAGAAAUAAUCAUCAACCAUAUGAUUCUCAACAGAGAAGAAGAGGAAGGUAGUGGUCAUCAAGCGCAGGCAGAUCACAAGGGAAUAACAGCUAGUUGGUCAAAUUUACCAUAUCCUACUUAUCAAACUUCUCGGAAGUGAGUAGGAAGCCCUACCUUCUCCCUUGAAGCUCUAAAAUGCCUCCCGGAUUGGGACUGAUUGAAGUUUUUAGGUCAUACAUCCCACUAUCAUAACCAUAAUGGGUCCAACUCAGGAGAAAUUAAACUACAAAUAAUAUAUACUUGCAAAGGUAUAAAAUUAAUUCUGUGUUAACAGUGGGAAAUUAUACAAUCGUGGUCUAUUAAAUUCAACAUAGAUAUACCUAAGUGACUGGAUUAGUGCAAAUAAAGGGAAUUAGGGGAAUAUUUAGAAAUUUUAUUAGCAGUUUAAAAACAAUAGAGUAGGGAGUGAGAAGUGUCAUGUAUAAGGGGAAUAAUUAUGGCAGAUUUAACUGCUAAAUUAUCUUUAAUUUUAGUUUGGGGAUCCUGUUUUGAUUCAGAAAUUAAUUAUAGUAGGUUUUUAAAUCUAUAUGUGGAGAGUUUUUUUGGAGGAAGAGGGGGAAAUCUUUCCACUGGUGACUUUUAGUCUGACUGGCUUAUGGUCAGAAUAUAUGGUCUGUAAAUCUCUAUGUUUUGAAAUUUGUUAAAGUUUGUUUCAUCAAAUUCAUGAGUAGUUUUUAAUAUUUUUUUCAUGGAAUAAGAGAAGUGCAUAUAUUCUCCGUAGGCAGCAUGGUGGUUGAGUCUUAAGACCAUAGGCCCUAGAGCCAGACCUAUCGGCUCUGCUGCUCUCUGGCCAUGGAGUAUUAAGCAACUUACCUGUUCAGUCAGUGCCUCAGUUUUCUAUCUAUAAAAGGCUGUUAGGAAGAGUUUAUAAGUUAGUAUGUCAAACCUCAGAAGAAAACCAGCAUGGCUUUCUUGAUGUAAGUAUGAUGUAAUUGUUUACUAAACAUAUCUCUACCUACUUUUAUCCACAUGCAUACACACACACACACACACACACACACACACACA
ensembl:lincRNA